AAAACCAAUGCCCUCCGGGGCUACUGGGUGAUUCAUAGUAACUUUUCGAAUCGCACGGCCUUGUGCCGGCGAUGGUUCAUUCAAAUUUCUUCCCUAUCAACUUUCGAUGCGAAGGUCUUGUCUUCGCAUGGUUACAACGGGUAACGGAGGGUUAGGGCUCGACCCCGGAGAAGGAGCCUGAGAAACGGCUGCUACAUCUAAGGAAGGCAGCAGGCGCGCAAAUUACCCAAUCCCGACUCGGGGAGGUAGUGACAAUAAAUACUGAUACAGGGCUCUUUAGGGUCUUGUAAUUGGAAUGAGUACAAUUUAAAUCCCUUAACGAGGAACAAUUGGAGGGCAAGUCUGGUGCCAGCAGCCGCGGUAAUUCCAGCUCCAAUAGCGUAUAUUAAGUUGUUGUGGUUAAAAAGCUCGUAGUUGAACCUUGGGCCUGGCUGGCCGGUCCCCCUCACCGGGUGCACUGGUCCGGCCGGGCCUUUCCCUCUGUGGAACCGCAUGCCCUUCACUGGACGUGCCGGGGAACCAGGACUUUUAC
rnacentral:rRNA from 1 species